AGUUGAGCGCUGAAGGUUGGUACUUGUACCGACUGGAUGAGCAGCGAACGGGUGAGUAACGCGUGGGGAAUCUGCCUUUGAGCGGGGGACAACAUUUGGAAACGAAUGCUAAUACCGCAUAAAAACUUUAAACACAAGUUUUAAGUUUGAAAGAUGCAAUUGCAUCACUCAAAGAUGAUCCCGCGUUGUAUUAGCUAGUUGGUGAGGUAAAGGCUCACCAAGGCGAUGAUACAUAGCCGACCUGAGAGGGUGAUCGGCCACAUUGGGACUGAGACACGGCCCAAACUCCUACGGGAGGCAGCAGUAGGGAAUCUUCGGCAAUGGACGAAAGUCUGACCGAGCAACGCCGCGUGAGUGAAGAAGGUUUUCGGAUCGUAAAACUCUGUUGGUAGAGAAGAACGUUGGUGAGAGUGGAAAGCUCAUCAAGUGACGGUAACUACCCAGAAAGGGACGGCUAACUACGUGCCAGCAGCCGCGGUAAUACGUAGGUCCCGAGCGUUGUCCGGAUUUAUUGGGCGUAAAGCGAGCGCAGGUGGUUUAUUAAGUCUGGUGUAAAAGGCAGUGGCUCAACCAUUGUAUGCAUUGGAAACUGGUAGACUUGAGUGCAGGAGAGGAGAGUGGAAUUCCAUGUGUAGCGGUGAAAUGCGUAGAUAUAUGGAGGAACACCGGUGGCGAAAGCGGCUCUCUGGCCUGUAACUGACACUGAGGCUCGAAAGCGUGNGGAGCAAACAGGAUUAGAUACCCUGGUAGUCCACGCCGUAAACGAUGAGUGCUAGAUGUANGGAGCUAUAAGUUCUCUGUAUCGCAGCUAACGCAAUAAGCACUCCGCCUGGGGAGUACGACCGCAAGGUUGAAACUCAAAGGAAUUGACGGGGGCCCGCACAAGCGGUGGAGCAUGUGGUUUAAUUCGAAGCAACGCGANAACCUUACCAGGUCUUGACAUACUCGUGCUAUUCCUAGAGAUAGGAAGUUCCUUCGG
rnacentral:rRNA from 1 species